GUGCCAGCCGCCGCGGUAAUACGGAGGGUGCGAGCGUUAAUCGGAAUGACUGGGCGUAAAGGGCAUGUAGGCGGAUGAUUAAGUUAGGUGUGAAAGCCUCGGGCUCAACCUGAGAAUAGCAUUUAAAACUGGUGAUCUGGAGUACUGUAGAGGGAGGUAGAAUUCCACGUGUAGCGGUGAAAUGCGUAGAGAUGUGGAGGAAUACCGGUGGCGAAGGCGGCUCUCUGGUCUGUUACUGACGCUGAGGCUCGAAAGCAUGGGUAGCGAACAGGAUUAGAUACCCUGGUAGUCCAUGCCGUAAACGAUGAGUGCUAAGUGUUGGGAGGUUUCCGCCUCUCAGUGCUGCAGCUAACGCAUUAAGCACUCCGCCUGGGGAGUACGACCGCAAGGUUGAAACUCAAAUAAAUUGACGG
rnacentral:rRNA from 1 species